GAUGAACGCUGGCGGCGUGCCUAAUACAUGCAAGUCGAGCGAACAGACGCUGAGCUUGCUCCUCUGACGUUAGCGGCGCACGGGUGAGUAACAUGUGUAUAACCCACUUAUAAUACUGGGAUAACUUCGGGAAACCGGAGCUAAUACCGGAUAAUAUAUUGAACCGCAUGGUUCAAUAGUGAAAGACGGCUUUGCUGUCACUACUAGAUGGAUCUGCGCCGCAUUAGCUAGUUGGUAAGUUCACGGCUUACCACGGCAACGAUGCGUAGCCGACGUGAGAGAGUGGUAGGCCGCACGAGAGCGGAGACACGGUCCAGACUCCUACGGGAGGGAGCAGUAGGGAAUCUUCCGCAGUGGGCGAAAGCCUGACGGAGCGAGGCCGCGUGAGUGAUGAAAGUCUUCGGAUCGUAAAACUCUGUUAUUAGGGAAGAACAAAUGUGUAAGGAACUAUGCACGUCGUGACGGUACCUAGUCAGAAAGCCACGGCUAACUACGUG
rnacentral:rRNA from 1 species